rnacentral:misc_RNA from 1 species
GUAUUUGUUUUAAAGGCACAAGAGGCCCAUUGACAACAUUCUGUUACAUUCUUGUGGGGUAUAUAUAAAAACAUAGACCUGAAAUGCAAGGAAAGCUGGCUUUUCAACACAGCAAUCCUCAAACCGAGUUUCCUCGAGAGGUACUCCAGAUCUACAAAGGGUGCACAGGUGGUUAAAAAUGGCAUUAGGCGUGCACAUGCUCCUAAGAGCCAGCAGCAACCCAACCAAGUUUAUUCAAUAAUGAUCCUUCCGCAGGUUCACCUACGGAAA